GAGAAAUAUCACUGGUUUAAACCCUGAAACUACUUUGGUUGUGGUGGUUUCAAAGACUUUUACCACUGCUGAAACUAUGUUAAAUGCUCGGACACUAAGGGAGUGGAUUUCUGCGGCUCUUGGGCCUUCAGCUGUUGCAAAGCAUAUGGUAGCAGUUAGCACAAACCUCCCGCUUGUAGAGAAGUUUGGAAUUGAUCCUAAUAAUGCCUUUGCAUUCUGGGACUGGGUUGG
rnacentral:misc_RNA from 1 species